AGAUAAAUUAACUAUGAAAUAUUAUGUUUCCUUGACCUAAUUUAAUCAAAGUGGUGAUCUUCAUGGCAGGUAUAAUCCAAGAAAAUUUGCCGACGAGGAUGAUGAUAGUGACAUGGAGGCAAACUACGAAGAUAUUAUGAGGGAGGAGCAAAGGAGCGCAAGAAUUGCUAGAAAAGAGGAUGAAGAAGAACUCCGCAAAAUAGAGGAAGAAGAGAGGAGGGAGCGUUUGAGAAAAGAGGCAAAGAAGCGUAAGCUAAGCCAACGAUGAUUAGCUGGUACACAAAAUUUUGUUUGUCGCUAAUUCCUUGUUGUCUAAUUAGCUGAAGUAACAAAAAGAAAAAAGGGAAAUUUUUUUUUCUCCGACCAUCUUUUCUUUUAACUUCUCAGAGUAGAUGCUGCUGCUGAAUUUUAUUGAACUUUUUCAUUUGUUGAAAAAGUGCCGACUGUAGUUAUAGUUUUAAUUUUUGUUAUGGCCGAGGUGGUUUUUUAUUUGAUUUAUAGAUUGAUUA